GAUGAACGCUGGCGGCGUGCCUAAUACAUGCAAGUCGAACGCAUAGCGAAAGGUGCUUGCACCUUUCAAGUGAGUGGCGAACGGGUGAGUAACACGUGGACAACCUGCCUCAAGGCUGGGGAUAACAUUUGGAAACAGAUGCUAAUACCGAAUAAAACUUAGUGUCGCAUGACACAAAGUUAAAAGGCGCUUCGGCGUCACCUAGAGAUGGAUCCGCGGUGCAUUAGUUAGUUGGUGGGGUAAAGGCCUACCAAGACAAUGAUGCAUAGCCGAGUUGAGAGACUGAUCGGCCACAUUGGGACUGAGACACGGCCCAAACUCCUACGGGAGGCUGCAGUAGGGAAUCUUCCACAAUGGGCGAAAGCCUGAUGGGGCAACGCCGCGUGUGUGAUGAAGGCUUUCGGGUCGUAAAGCACUGUUGUAUGGGAAGAACAGCUAGAAUAGGAAAUGAUUUUAGUUUGACGGUACCAGACCAGAAAGGGACGGCUAAAUACGUG
rnacentral:rRNA from 1 species